GGGGUUGUAGUGUAGUGGCUAUCACGCGUCAUUUGCAAUGACACUCAUAUGACACCCCUUGGGGGUAUCGGGUGGAUAUAAAAACUUGACGAGGUCCCGGGUUCAAUCCCCGGCGACUCCA